GGGCGUAUGGCUCAGUUGGUUAGAGCGCCACCAUGACACGGUGGAGGUCCGAGGUUCGAUUCCUCGUACGCCCA
rnacentral:tRNA from 2 species